rnacentral:tRNA from 1 species
UGGCCCGUUAGCUCAAUUGGUAGAGCAGCGGACUCUUAAUCCGCGGGUUAUAGGUUCAAGUCCUAUACGGGUCAU